rnacentral:rRNA from 1 species
UGCGGUUAUACAAAAGUUAAAUUAAAUUUUUUUAGGAUUUAAUAAAUAAGAAGUAAAAAUUAAUAAUUUAAAUUUGAAAUUAUAAAGUGAAAUUUUAAUUUAAUUAAAAAUUAUUUAUUUAUUAUGACAUUAAUAAAUUUUAUAAAAAACUAGGAUUAGAUACCCUAUUAUAAAAAUUUAAAUUUAAUAAUCUUAAAAUAGUAUAUAAUUUUUUAUAGAAACUUAAAUAAUUUGGCGGUAUUUUAGUUCAUUUAGAGGAAUCUGUCUAAUAAUUGAUAAUCCACGAUUAAAUUUACUUAAUUUUUAAUUUUGUAUAUCGUUGUUAAAAAAAUAUUUUUAAAUAACUAUAAUAUUUUAAAAUUUAUAUAAGAAAUUAAAUCAGAUCAAGAUGCAGAUUAUAAUUAAGAAUAUGAUGGAUUACAAUAAAUUUUAUUUUUGGAUAUUAAUUUGUAAUAAAUUAAUUUAAAUUGGAUUUAAAUGUAAUUUUAUUAAUUUUGUUAAAAUGAUUUAAAAUUAAAAUAUGUACAUAUUGCCCGUCGCUUUCAUUAAUAAAUUGAAAUAAGUCGUAACAAAGUAGAGGUACUGGAAAGUGUUUCUAGAAAGAU